rnacentral:rRNA from 1 species
GAUGAACGCUAGCGGCAGGCUUAACACAUGCAAGUCGAGGGGUAGAGGUUGCUUGCAACCUUGAGACCGGCGCACGGGUGCGUAACGCGUAUGCAACCUACCUUUUACAGAGGGAUAGCCCAGAGAAAUUUGGAUUAAUACCUCAUAGUAUAUAUCUUUCGCAUGUUAGGUAUAUUAAAGUUCCAACGGUAAAGGAUGGGCAUGCGUCCUAUUAGCUAGAUGGUAAGGUAACGGCUUACCAUGGCUACGAUAGGUAGGGGUCCUGAGAGGGAGAUCCCCCACACUGGUACUGAGACACGGACCAGACUCCUACGGGAGGCAGCAGUGAGGAAUAUUGGACAAUGGGCGCAAGCCUGAUCCAGCCAUGCCGCGUGCAGGAAGAAGCAUCUAUGGUGUGUAAACUGCUUUUGUACAGGAAGAAACAUCCCGACGUGUCGGGACUUGACGGUACUGUAAGAAUAAGGAUCGGCUAACUCCGUGCCAGCCGCCGCGGUAAUAC